rnacentral:rRNA from 1 species
AUUAGGAAUCUUGCACAAUGGGCGAAAGCCUGAUGCAGCGACGCCGCGUGCGGGAUGACGGCCUUCGGGUUGUAAACCGCUUUUGUCAGGGAAGAAGAAUGUGACGGUACCUGACGAAUAAGCCCCGGCUAACUACGUGCCAGCAGCCGCGGUAAUACGUAGGGGGCGAGCGUUGUCCGAAGUUACUGGGCGUAAAGCGCGCGUAGGCGGUCUUUUAAGUCUGGUGUGAAAGGUUCAGGGCUCAACCCGAACAGUGCACUGGAUACUGGAAGACUUGAGUGCGGGAGAGGAGAGUGGAAUUCCUGGUGUAGCGGUGAAAUGCGUAGAUAUCAGGAGGAACACCGAUGGCGAAGGCAGCUCUCUGGCCUGCAACUGACGCUGAGGUGCGAAAGCGUGGGGAGCGAACGG